rnacentral:lncRNA from 1 species
AUUCAUUGCUCAUUGCUUCCAAAUCCAAGGAACAGGCAUCUCGGAUCACUGCGCUGUGAGGGCAGGAGGACCCUUCUUUUGGAAAGCGGAAACAGGGCUACCCGAUCUAUCGGUGUCCUAUGGAACCACACUGCCCCCUGUGGUCAGAACCACCUGGGAUGCAGAACAGCAAGGACUGCAAACUUGGGUGCAGAGGGCUUUCCUCCACGCAACCCAGGAAGCUCCGUGAUUGGCAAACUGCUCUGUCAGGAUCCAUCGAAUCAGCAAACAUAGGUGCCUCUAGGAUGCAAACCAGGGAACAGGACUGUUAUGUGGCUUGCUGGUAGCCAAGCAAAAUGCCCCGAUCCAUCAGGUUGGUGAGAGGCCGCUGAAUGAGACCCAGCCUCGUGUUUUGUGGGAUGAAGAGAUGCAGACAAAGUGACUCAGGACCAGAAGGCCCCCUCAGUACCAUCUGAGGACACCGCAGUAGUGCCUAUUAAAUAACAUCCAGACAAGGCAUGGCCCUUCAACUAUCUUAUGAAAUGAGAAACCACCACACCGGCCACGAAGCCGUUCACAUACACAUGUGCAGGGUGGAUGAGGAAAGGACAGAUGAGAAACUGGGACCAUACCAGGUGAUAACUGAGAACCAAACUCCCCAAAGCUCCCAGCACUGGACGACUCCAGAAAGGGUCUCAGCACCACAGGCUCUAAGAUGGAGUGACUGCUAGAGACAGAAAUCAUGGCAACAAGUAGAACAUUUUCUGUCCACAUCCAGAGGGAGAAGCCACAGGAGGAAAUACCUUGAAGCUUGUGGGACGUGCCUGGUGAGGAUAUUCCGUUCAAUGACACAUCUGUCAUCUUUACAUGUUGACCAGCCAACAAGAACUUGCUGAGUACAGGACGGACAAGGUUGGCAUUCCGCUGGCUCUACAGGGGAUCAACGGGAAGGAUGGAGAGAACAGCUUGUGUGCCAGGUGGGGAGACGGACAUGGACCAAUACUGAAUAACCUACAACACAAUGGUUUAGAAAGAGAAUUCAAGGUAUGUGGACUGGACUUAAGCCAUGGCUAAGCUCACAAAAGACUUCCUGGAAGAAGAUGUACAGCCUAUGGUGAGGCACAACCUCCCUGUCUGUACUGCGAGUUCUUGGGUCAAGACACAACUCACCUCUACCUAUCUGUACACUGACAGCAAAGUCCUUUUAAUAUCAAACAGAAAUGAAUGACAAUGAUGGUGACCACAUUUCCCAAACCCACGAACGGUCAGGUUUCUGUGGCGCCUCUCCAUUUGAGAGGCUCUCUGAAAGCCAGUCGUGGAUAGCAUGCUUCCAUGUGUAUGUAAAUAACAAGACAUAUGGAACAUGUUAAAUCGGAAGACUGUUCCAUAUCCAGAAUUACUAAUGUACUAAUAAUCCUUUGAAUCCUCAAAAAAAACAAAAAACACUAUACUUUUAUGCCAAAGUAGAUGGAAUGGGUGACUAGAGAUAAAGCUGAAGAAAUUUCAGAUUUAAAAUCUGACUGGCCCAUUCACCAGCAGACUUAGGAAAGUGCUAACUGCGAAGCUGGCCAGUAUUCAGCUCGACAGUCCUAAAAACAAACGGAACCCUUUGGAGCUGGAAAGUGGUAUCAUAAAAGCCGCCGAAUGCGGUGCUUCUAGAGCGGCCCACCAGGAAAAUAUGACAGUUUACAUCUUUACGUAGCCUAAUGUACAGUGGGAAUAUAAAUAUCUCGUUCAGGCCCCAGUCACUGCCUGGAAUGGGAUGCUUUCCUUAACAAGAAGCAGAUGAGAGGCCCAGAAGCCAAACCUCUUAUUCUGUUGGUCUGAAGGCUGUAGUUUUCAGUCGGUCAGCACAGAGAGUGGCAAUUCAGGGAGGGAAGGCACUGCAUGUGUUUCCUUGGUCAGGACAAAAGCUUGUAGCUCUUUUCCUGGGCCCCCUGAGGCUCUCGUACGUUGAGUGUCCCGCAUGUGGUCAGCGGCUUUACCCACCUUUCCUUGGGCCACCAGCUCCCUCUGGGCUGCUGAGGCCGAUUUGACCAGGGCGCUUGUGGCAGCAGCAAUGGAUUUAGCAGCUUCCAAGAUCUGUUCCUCAAAGUCCAGGGUCUCAUCCGCUUGCUAUAACCAAAAGAAAACAGCAUCACAUUCAAUUCAUAUCCACAAAGGGCUCUUUCUUCCAAACUACUUACUGCCGGGUCACCUGGCUCUUCACCUGCCUAUUGUUUUUUGUUGACAAACCACACCUGAAAUGGGAUGGUUCCUUAACAAGAAGCAGAUGACAGGUCCCCUGUGCAAACUUUCAGGACUCUUAAGUCAGUUUGGUUAAGCCACCCUCGGGUCACAGUGUGGAAGAUGUGGCUGGUACCUUUCAGGCAUUAAGAGACAAUGGCCAGGCACAGCAAUAGUUUUCUUUGUAUGUGUGGUACAAUAUAUAUAACACAAAAUUUACCCUUUUACCUAAUGUUAAGUAUUAAUACACUGACACUGUUGUACAACAGCAAUACCAGGAUAGAAAGGUCAGGAUGCCUCUCCACCUGCAGCCCCUUCCCCCUAACUCCAAAAGGAAAAAGCCGUUAGCUUGACAUCCCACGGAAAUUUGCAGACAGACUCAUUUUCUGGAACAAAAUCUUUAAAGAUAUACACUCACUGUGAACAAAAUACACUCAAAUGGUUUUAGCAACAUCAAUAACUGAAACCAAAAUAAUAAAAUCAAAACAGUAGAUCAUAGCACUUACUCUCUUCUAGAGCCUAAGCCUCAAAAAUGGACUUUAAAAAAAAAAAAAGGAAAGAUGGCUACCAGUUCUGAAAAGUUGUCUUUUUCCUGGGUAAAAAUCAAAGCCAAACAGCACUGGCAUUUCUGUGGCUGAGCACUGAGAGAGUUAUAGACCAAGCACACAUUGCCCAGUGGUGAAAAAGAAACCAGGGCAACACGACAUCAAGGUGGAGCUUGUUCUGUCCUCUGGACACCCGAGGCACGGGAUCCACCUUGGGAAGAACACUGGACACCACUGUGUAGGUGUUAUCAGACCAUUAGGGUUCUGGUCUAAAUUCACCACCAUCUCCUUUGCUGCUAAAACAACUCAGGAAGUUGAAAAGAAGCUUUGGAGAAGUGGAACAAGUAUAAAGACUGUGGUCCCAGGCUCAUGGGUUGGAGCAUCACAGUUUUGCCGGGGGGUGGUCAGAUUAGACCUGUGUGACAACAUUCCGUGACUCUAGGUCAAUUUGGUUAAGCUGCCCUCAGGUCACACAGUGUUGAAGAUGUGGGUGGUACCUUUCAGGCAUUGAGAGAUGAUGGCCAGGCCCAGCAAUACUUUUCUCUGUAUGUGUGGUAAAAUAUAUGUAACACAAAACUUACCCUUUUAUCCAAUUUUAAGUGUACAAUUCAGUGGCAUUACGGACAUUCACACUUUGUGCCAACAGUAGUAGAUUUUUAAGAGUGCCUACUGUGUACCAAGUAUUUUGUUAGGCACUUCUACAUACAAUGACUUAAUUCUCACCAAAAAAAAAAAAAAAGAUCGUAUAUUGGAAUUAUCUUUAUCCUUAUUUUUACAGUGAGAAAACCCAGGCUCAGGAAGGUAGAUGAUUGGGCCAAGGUGAUGUGGCAGCAUGAAGCAUCUAAACCAGAAUCUAAACCUAAAUCUGACUCCAAAAUGAGGCACUUUAACUAGCCAAAGCCACCCCUUGGGGCAUCAGUGAGAAACGGUUUGUGCCAGAGGUUCAAAGUCAGCUUGCUAACGCUCCCAUGUGAAACGUCAGACAGGAGGGAUACAAGUCUUCUCCAGCUCUCCAUUCAUAAUGCCACAUCUUGAACCAUGAAAGGUGCUAAUCCUUUUUCUUUAUAACCUACAUUAUCAAAAUACAAUUUCAAUGCACUUCUAAUGGAUCUGAAUGAUGGUAGCAUUUCAGAAGUUCUGAGACAGACUUGUGCAUUCUUUCUUAUUGCUGACCAAGUCUUGCUCUAAGAGUAUUCAGGACAGACAUGAAUUUAGUUCUACUGGACUCAUUUUGGACUGGUGGAGUAUAGAAUUUGGUGACUGAAAUACGGAAAUGAUCCAUUGUAAGACACUCUCGUAUAAAAGGAACUCUUGUGUAGUCAGUCCCCAAAUAAAUUAUAGUAGGCUCUAAUUUAUAUAUAUUAAAUAUAUAAAUAAUGUAUAUUUUAAUAACCGUGAGAUUAAGAGCUUUUCUGGAAAUUCAUUCUGCCAAAGAAUGUCAGGCACAUAACAGAUUAAAGCACCAGGGAAAUCACAGAAUUUUUGACUCCAAACUCCUCAUCUCAUUUUGCAGAUGAGGAAACGGAGGCUUGUGGGAGCUCUUCAUGGCGGCUCCUGAAGUCUCUCACGCUCUUGCCUCAGGUGUCCUCAGCUACUCUAUGGGUUCCACGCCCGAGUCCACUUUACAGUGUGGAAUACUCUGUCAGACUUUUUAUUUCCCAAAUUUUAAGAUUUUCAAAAAUGGAAUUUCUUUAAAAUUAAGUGCUACGUCUUUAGCAGGGGUAGAUCUGAUAGGAUCAUCUCAUCACAACUGAUUUUACGAGCCUCUCCCACAUCUUCCGCUGCCUGGAGUUUUUUUUUUUUUUAAACACAAGCUUGUAAUAAUAGAUAUUCAACUUGGAAAUAUUUUUGACACCCACAGAUUUUUCUGGUAAUGGCAACUGUUGUAAUGUUCUUUGACGAAUUUUUAUUUUUCUUCCCACAACAUCUCUAUGCUUUAAAACAGAUACGGCAGAAGUUCUUAUCUCUGGGAGACAUUUGCUCUGAUAAGAAAGUAUUAAGAUUCUCCCUAGAAAGGCUGACUGGGAUGGCACAGGGAUGGAGGGCUAAUGUUAGAUACUACAGUUUGGGCAGAGUACCCUGAUGAAACCUGCCUUCUGACUGCUGUGUCCCUAUUUUCCUGUAUGCCAGGUUUAUGACUAAGACGCACUGCCCACCCUACCUCUACUGCUGAAAUCAGACACCAAUACUUAACGUGUCCUCAUACCAUACAACUUCUAGCCUUAGAGAAAAUGGCAUCUCUCCAAGCCAAGGAGACAUGGUCAAAAACCCAGGUGCCCCAUCAGUUCCAGCUCCCAUUAGCAUGCAGAAUGGAAUAGGGGAGAAGGUAGGAAGGACACACACUUAACCAUAUCACAAGAAGGAAACAGAAUUGGCUUGGUCUUCAAAGGACUUUCCUAAAUAAAAGAAUCCCAAUUAAAAUGCAGAAUUUGUUAAUGGAACAGUCCCCACUGCAGCUGAGAGACUGGGGAGACUAAGAAGAACAACAUGGUGCACAGUGACUCCGGGGAAGAAUCUGCAGGCUGGGCCCUCUCCUGGAGCUCUCAUUCUCACCUUCUCACCAGAGAGGCUCACCUGGUUGGUGUCUUAAGGCCCUCUUUAGCUGAGAUGUUACUGACCUGACCAGGGUCAGUCAGAUCUCUCCUUCUGGUUUAUAAAGGGGAUAACGGAAUCCUCGCUUCUGGGUGUUUCAUUCUUUCCACAAUUGGAUCAUGUAAAGACCCGCUAAAAUAAUCUUUUAAAGAUUAUGACUAAUCCUGUGCAUGUGGCUAUUUAUGUUUCUCUAUAACUACUGGCAUCAAGCUAAAGCAAGGAACUUUAGAAAACAAUUUCAUUAAACAGGAUAAAUUGAUAGUCUUUAGCCAUAAAAAAGAGUGAGAUCCUGCCAUUUGCAACCACAUGGCUAGAACUGGAGAUCCUUAUGUUAAGUGAAAUAAGCCAGGCACAGAAAGACAAACAUUGUAUGUUCCCACUUAUUUGUGGGAUCCAGAAAUCAAAACAAUUGAACUCAUGGACAUAGAGAGUAGAAGGAUGGCUCCCAGAGGCUGGGAAGGGUAGUGAGGGGCUGGGAGGUAGGGAUGGUUCAUGGGUACAAAAAAAUAGAAUAAGACCUACUACAUGUGACAGCACAACAGGGUGACUAUGGUCAAUAACUUAAUUGUACAUUUUAAAAUAAUUAGAACAGUGUAAUUGGAUUGUUUGUAACACAAAGGAUAAAUGCUUGAGAGGAUGGAUACCCCAUUCUCCAUGAUGUGCUUAUUUCACAUUGCAUGCCUGAUAUUGUUUGGCUGUGUCCCCACCCAAAUCUCAUCUUGAAUUGUAGCUCCCAUAAUCCCCACAUGUCAUGGGAGGGACCUGGUGGGAGGUAACUGAAUCAUGGGGGCAGGUCUUUCCUGUGCUGUUCUCGUGAUAGUGAGUAAGUUUCAUGAGAUCUGUUGGUUUUAUAAAGGGGAGUUCCCCUACACAAGCCCGCUUGCCUGCCGCCAUAUAAGAUGUAUCUUGCUUCCCCUUCGCUUUCCGCCAUGAUUGUGAGGCCUCCCCAGCCAUGUGGAACUGUGAGUCAAUUAAACCUUUUCUUUAUGUAUCACCCAGUCCUGGGUAUGUCUAUAUUAGUUGUGUGAGAACAAGCUAAUACAAUGCCUGUAACAACACAUCUCAUG